CUCUUCUCUCGUUGUCGACGAGUAGCAACCCUUCGAGGGACGACCGUCUCACGCCAGUGCUGCAGGUUUAGAUGUUCUUCCUUAGCUUAAUUGAGCUCACACUGCGAUUGCCUUCUCAUCUUCUGGACCUUUCUCUCAAUGAAACCAUCAAAGGAGAGCUUGAGAGUCAAUUCUUACAUAAGGUUAUUGCGAAUUUGGGGCUGUGUGUCUCUGUUUAUGAUAUCAGAUCUAUAGAUGGUGACUUUGUCUUUCCUGGGGAUGGUGCUUCAACCUAUACGGUAUGCGUAAUCUAAAUUUUCGUUUUUAUAAUUUAUCUAUCUGGGAUUGUGGCAUUGCUUGCAUAUUCCUCCGUUUUCAAAUUGAAUUG